GCCGCGAAAUGGCGGAAGUGGAGCCAGGCCCCGCGUCACCAACACGGAAGAAACCAGCGCACAGCAGCAACUGGUAGAGGAAGCAGACGUCCAGCGCCCGAAGAUGUACAGCUGCUUGCAGGCGGGGCCUCCUUCAAGCCAAGUGGUCGGCCGCACAGAGGCCACACCUUGCGCAGUGGGUGCGGUCACCGACUUCCCAUCUCUCCGGUCCUCGCUCUCUGCGGUCCAGACAAGCCCUCAAGCACACUAGACGACAACGCUGGCCCGAAGACAGCCUUGUGUAUGCCCUUCCCGCUGCCAGCAAGGCUCCCCUCCCCUUCCUCUUUGCCAGCGGAUUCUGCUCAUUCUGCAGAGCUCCGGAAAAGCCUAUGUCUAUGCCUACGUCCACACCCCACGUCUAGAGCUAGCUUCAUAGCUGCAUCUCCUGUCCACAGGUCUUGCAGCUUAAAAUGGCCACUUCCCCAGGAAAGCCUUCUCUGAGCACCAGCCUACCAGGUCCGGGCCCCGUGAAAAGCCCUGGUAGCACUUUCUUCCUUUUUGUAUGCUAGUCGUGGUGCAAUCAGAAAUAUAAAUUCCACAAAGGCAUGAAGGGAAGUUCCGCAAGCACUGAGAGCGAGUUUCUCUUUCCAGCACCUAAAGUGGUCCUGGCGUAGAGGGUGUAUCCUGCGGAUGCUUGUUUGUUGGUUUGUUUUUGGUACCACUGAUCGAACGCUGGACCUUGCGGUUCCAAGGCAGGCACCAGAACCAUUAAGCUAAAUCCCUCGCCCCUGCAGAUACUUGUUGACUGCACUGCUGAGCACUCUACCAAGUGCCAAUCCUGUGAUGGCAGUGGUGCGCAAGGUCCAGGCCCUGGCCUCAGGCAGUUUGCGGCUCCAUGGGCAGAGGGCAAGCAGACCAUGACUAUCCCCUGUGAGAAGUGUUGUGAAGACCACAAGCAGGUUGCUAAGGAAACACAUAGGAAGGGCAUGUUACCCAGCCUGGGGUGGGCAGUGGGGGCCAGUGAAGGCUCUCAGGAGGAGGUGUCCUCUAUGAAGAGCAGGUGCUGGGGGAAGAAGUAUGGGCAGAAUCAUUCCAGCCCAAGGGUGCAGCACCCAACCCCAAGAAAAGUUGGGGAAAGAGGGGCAGAAUCUCGAUCAGACAGAGGGACAGACAGACCCAAGAAGCACUGAAGUUUGCCCUGCUUACAUUUUCUUUUAUUAUUCUGGAGGGGAAGUUGCAGAUAUUCCAUAAUGCUUACAGAUAACUCAUUGCAUGAAAUAGACAUUAUUUAUGACAUCAUUGCAUUACAAAAAGAAAAGAGAAAAUGCCUGGUUGGAAGGUUUCAGUAUGUAAGCGGGUAUGAGCCUGCAUUUUCUGACAUCAGAAAGCCCCUUAAACCAUCCCAGAUCCUUGUUCAUGCAGAGCUUGCCCUCAGUUAUGUUUCUUCUGAGGCCAGGAAGGGAUUCUGCCAGGCUCUGGUUACCGGUGCCCUGUCUCGCUGCUAAUGACUAGCAGUGGAAAGAAUGCCUUUAUAACAGGAUCAGUGCCCUCGGACUCCUCUGCCUCCUCAGAGCCAGCUCUGCACUUGAAAAGCCCUGGUAAUGUGCCUCCAAGGCUGAUGAUAGAGGACUUGCCACUCAUUUUAUACCCCUUCUGUACCCCUAGGCCACUCAGUGACCUGUAUUCCCUCACAAAGUGCUUAUUCUAUGUCUCUUCGGAAUCCCAGCCUAUUGGAGAGAAAUUCACAGUGUCUGAGUUCCUGUCUACAAUAACUGGCUUAGUUGUGCUCUGACAGAUACACAGAAAGUAAAAAGCACAGUCCUUAGCAGCAAAGCGCUUACAAUUUGAGGACAUAAAAUGUAUGUACUUGAAGCAGUUAGAGUAUAGUAUUAAUUAAUUUUCUUUCAUUUAUAACCCAACUCUCCCCUCUUAAGGAAAAGGGAAAUUUUUUGGAUGAGACAUGGGAAUCAGUCAAAAUAAAAGUGUUGUAGGACCAGGACUGUAGAAUGUGAAGAAUCUAGGACAGUUCAGGAUCUUAGUAGCAGGAAUGUGUGAAUAUUUCUCCUCUCUUCUCCACUCUUCUCUCUGCUGCUCCCCUCCCUCCCCUCCAGGAAUCUGCAACUGGGUAAAUAGGGUGGGAGAGGAUAGUAGCUGGAUUAUGAAAGAUUUUGAAAAUAUAAAGAAGAUUAAACUACCCAAAAUCUCAUACUCCAAGACAACCACUGAUUUGCCUCUGACAUGUAUUCUUCCAGUCUUCAAGUGUCCAUUUUGACUUUGUCAGAGAGAAAGAAGUUGCACUGUUCCUGAUCCAGUGAAAAAGAUGGAUAAGAACACACUAUAAUGUUUUUACAAGCCUGACUUUCCUCUGGAUAGUAUUCAGCAGCAGCAUUCACCAUAUUUUUGAUCAUACCUCAUAAAGACAAAUUCCAGAGCUGCUUCAAAAAGUGACAAGAUUGAUGAGGUAAGUGUUCAAUGUG